rnacentral:rRNA from 1 species
GAACGGUAACAGGAAGCAGCUUGCUGCUUUGCUGACGAGUGGCGGACGGGUGAGUAAUGUCUGGGAAACUGCCUGAUGGAGGGGGAUAACUACUGGAAACGGUAGCUAAUACCGCAUAACGUCGCAAGACCAAAGAGGGGGACCUUCGGGCCUCUUGCCAUCGGAUGUGCCCAGAUGGGAUUAGCUAGUAGGUGGGGUAAAGGCUCACCUAGGCGACGAUCCCUAGCUGGUCUGAGAGGAUGACCAGCCACACUGGAACUGAGACACGGUCCAGACUCCUACGGGAGGCAGCAGUGGGGAAUAUUGCACAAUGGGCGCAAGCCUGAUGCAGCCAUGCCGCGUGUAUGAAGAAGGCCUUCGGGUUGUAAAGUACUUUCAGCGGGGAGGAAGGGAGUAAAGUUAAUACCUUUGCUCAUUGACGUUACCCGCAGAAGAAGCACCGGCUAACUCCGUGCCAGCAGCCGCGGUAAUACGGAGGGUGCAAGCGUUAAUCGGAAUUACUGGGCGUAAAGCGCACGCAGGCGGUUUGUUAAGUCAGAUGUGAAAUCCCCGGGCUCAACCUGGGAACUGCAUCUGAUACUGGCAAGCUUGAGUCUCGUAGAGGGGGGUAGAAUUCCAGGUGUAGCGGUGAAAUGCGUAGAGAUCUGGAGGAAUACCGGUGGCGAAGGCG